rnacentral:lncRNA from 1 species
GCCCACUCUGCCCACAGUUGUGUCCCAGAAAGCCCCUGCCCGAGUCUGCACUCAGCCCGGGCUCAGGCUGCCAUACCGGGCUGCUCUUGCUUUACUCAGCACAGAGCUGUUUUCCCAAGACUUCAGCUGGCCUCCAGAAGGAUCAAGUCGGGAACAGGCCCCCGUGUCCACCUGGGACCAGAAUCACUGGCCAGCCUUGGUGUGUGUCUGCCCCAGGUGAUUUUCUGUCUGGGCUUCCUUUUUCCUGUCACAGGCCCUCGGGGUCAUCCCAACAAGAUUCACUUGCUCUGAAUCUUAGGAACUGGGCUUUUAGAAAAGAUUUUGCCACCCAACGUGGGGCUUGACCUCAAAACCCCGAGAUUAAGAGUCGCAUGCUCCACCAACCUAGCCAGUCAGGCGCCCCAGAAAUUAAGCUUUUUAAAAAAAUCCUAUUCUUUUAAGGCCUCCACAUCCUUAACCGAUUCACCGGCACCCCCUUAGCAAAGAGGAAAGUGCUCUGCUUCUGAGCACAUUCUCCUCACUGGGCGGGAGGGGGUGGGGGAAGGGACAAGAAAAGGACUUCCCAGCACCUUCUCACAAGACACCCGAUGACUGUGAGUCUGACUCCUUCCUGCCUUUUGUCUGUUUAGCGUAAUUCUAGAAACCUCACAGUUCUGUCACACAGAAGCCAGGCCUGUGGACACAGCAGCGUGGGAGACGGGGAGAGGAACUUUCCUGAAGCGGGCUGAGGGGAACGGCCUUGUUCAUCCAUCCAAGCUUAAGAUCUGGCUUGCCCACUGAAUAAAUCAGAUGUGAAACGUUUCUAGUUUUUCUGGCUCCCCCACACAAUAAAGUCAGCAGAUGUGAAACAUAUUUAUGUUUUUAUUUAGGAACAAUCAAAAGAUCUGAAGUACCAUUUCGGCCCAUAUCAAAUUGUAUACGCAGUUUGUCCCUGCUCCCUCCCUUCUCCAAAUCCACAGAUACAAAAUCUAGGAAAUGUGCAAUUUGCAUCUUAGAAAUAGCAGCAUCCCCACAGGGGACCUCGUGAGGCCUGGAGGCAGCCCAGAGAGGACAGCCCACCCCCACCUCAGCAUAGCCACUGUCCGAAGGCGAGUUACGGCUUUCUGUUAAAAACACGUACUCUGGAUAAAGAACUCCCAUUCCACCCAGGCCUGACCGACAGAGUGUGCCCCCUUGGUUUGGUCUCACCCUGGCCACCGCAGUCAGGGGACCCUCUUGUAUAGUUUGGUGAAGUUGCAGAUUGCCUCUGGGCAAACAGGGCAGUUGUCUCUUAGCACCAAGGUGACCACGUCUUUCAGCCAUCUCUCUGGGAGGCGCACUAAAGCUGACUGCACCCCAGCCAUUCCCAGGGCCUCCGGUCACUCCGAAGACCAGAAGGUAAAUGGAUGGUAGAAAACCAGGAAUCAGCACUCUCAGGCAGGACCCCGCAGCUCUGGCAACCUCCCUGACUUCCACAAAGACUGUGCUCAGUUAACUUUCAAUGGACGAUGGCCAGCAGGGGAGAGGGGAAGGUUGGUUGGCGUUUUCUUCGUAAUAACGAUUAUGGCACAGUCGGGUUUUCCCGACACAGCUAAAUGGCGCGGCAGCGCGGGAACGCCUCUGCACGGGCCACCCCUUCUCCCCUGGCCCGAGGACCACGCUGGGUCCGUACUGAGGGCGGCCUGGCUCCCCCUCCAGCCAGCUCCACACAGCCUGGGACUCCUGCCCCACCAGCAUUUCAAGCAAACUGCAAGAAUGAGGUCACUGUGUGGGGGUAGGAACCAAGGAUGAGUGACCAUCUCUCUCUUUAAACACAAAUGACAGAACAGCUACCACGUGAGUAGAUUGUUACCCUCCACCAGUGUAUCUACUCUGGGGUUUGACUCCUGGGAAAGACGCACUUGUAGCUUUCUAUAUUCAGGGACUCCAAACAGUCUUUACCCUGGACAAUUUACCUUCGGCUCCAGCCGAAUGCUUCUUCCAAAUACUCCUAAGUCACCCACUUAUAGUGGAAAGGAACAAGAGUUAUAAAAGCAUUAGCCAGGAAAAGCUAUUCAUCGACAUUCAAGUGCUCAGGGGUACGCACGUGCACAUAGAGGAGGGCCACGCUCCAGAAGAAGAGGCACUAACGGCAGGUGGAUGCUCAGACCCCUCUCCAGUACCCUGGCUUGCCACCUGCCCCCAGCAGACAGCAGAAGAGAAGGCAGCUACCCCUGCCCCCGCCAGAAGGGCCCUGCUCGCUGUGCAGACCCUCCUUCUGGCUCCAGCCUGAGCAGCCACAAGGGCCAGGCGCUGAGGGCUGCUAAAGCCUUGGGGCUGGUGACAGCAGAGCAGUAGCCAUAUGCUCUUUGUGGAUCCUGGCGGUCCUGCAAACCAAGGAGAGCGUUUUUAAAAGUCAAGGCAGCAGGUGCUUGCUCCCACCCUUGUCCAUGGGGUGACCAGUGCCUGCCUAGGCCGUGCCGGGCAUCAGGUUUCUGCCCCUGCUCUGGACUUUGGCAGGUAGAAUCGUUGCUUCCCGCUGGAUCCGGGCUGUCCGAUCUCCAGUCUGGUGAAGACAGGCCAGGUUAGUGGCCAGUCUUCACAAGUGCGCUCAGGACUGAAGAACAGAAAAGCAGACCCUGGAUCACCCCCCGGGCCAAAUGCCCUGAGCCCUUUACUUUACACCCCCCACAUACAGAUGCUGGGUGGCUCAGUGAACUGCCUUCCUGGGACGACCGGUGCCAAGGUACACAACACAGGCCUCGCCAUUCCAUGUGGGACUUAGAGCUUGCCUGGGUGGCACUCAUGAUCGUCACCUCUACCCAGGCACUUGGCCCAAAUCAAAACCCGUCACUUUGUUGAGACGUUGCCUAGUUUUCUCAGCCCUGGUGUUGCACAGCCUGGCUGUUCUAAGUGGCCAGAGAAACAGCACGAUGGUUACCUCAGAUUGAAGCCGGGCUUGGGGAGGGGUCCAUUCAAAAGAAAGCUCGGCUCCCCACUGCCUGCUUUCUCAGGUGCCAGACAGUCCCCAAGCCACACGGAGAUGCGCCCCAAGGUCUGGGCAGGAAGAAGGCUAGGCGAGCCUGUGCUCCUCAGCAAAGCAGUGGAGUCAGGAGACCUGGAGACGGCCCCGGGCAGUAGUGAGGAGAGCCAAGCCCUGUUUGCCUCCUGCCCCAGGAAGCUGCUGGCUCUGGCCUGGAAGUAGCUGUGUGGACCCUAGCACAUCUACAGGAUUUUUCUUCUCCGGCUUACAACUGAGCCUUCCACAUUGAUAAGAUAAAGGAAAAUGUAAACUUAAUACAAAAGGUGGGUCAAAUCAAUAACCUGCCCUGAGUAAACUCUGAGCAAGGAAAAGGGGGGAAAAUUAGAAAAAACCCAAAUUUCAGGUUUGGUUUGGCUGGUUCUCUUCUACAAAGUGCCUUUAUCCACGUGGACUGUGGCAUUUAAACUGACAAAGCUGCUCAAACCCAAGGAUCUCGGUACAAGAAGAGAACAGGCAGACACAAGGCAACAGGGCCGAGAGCGGGCAGCACAGGCAGGCUGCCGAGGAGGGUGUGUGGACAAGGCGAGCACCCAGCCAGAAAGGCCAACGCCCACCCUCCAUGGAAGGCGGCCCGGCACAGAUGUCCCAGAGCCAGAGGGGAGAGGGAGGUAACACAGGACCUGUGCAGGAUAAGAGCCACAACUCAGCCUGGAAAACCUGCAGAAACUUCCCGGUGGGUCAGCCUCCCAUGGCCAGCUUGGACGGCACCGUCAGUACAGCACCCUGCCCAGCUCCCGCACCUGUCCUUCCGGAAAGCAGGCCUUCAGGUCCUGGUGCUUUGGUCACCCACGCAGCUUGGCCAAGCCAGGAGCUCUAAGUCACGUGAUGCUACCAAACCCCAAACACCAACAGGCCAUCCAACACUCUGGAACCCUCGACUCCCGAAAAUGGGAACGCUCCUCUCAAAUCAAAAAGCUCUUUAAUAGUCAAGAAUUCAAAUAAGUAAUCAAAAUAUGCAAAGUAGGGGCGCCUGGGUGGCUCAGUUGGUUAAGCAUCCAACUUUGGCUCAGGUCAUGAUCUGGCAGUUCGUGGGUUUGAGCCCCGUGUUGGGCUCUGUGCUGGCAGCUCAGAGCCUGGAGCCUGCUUCGGAUUCUGUCUCUCUGUCUCUCUCUCUCUCUCUCUCUGCCUCUGUCCCAAUUUGCGCUCUGUUUCUCUCUCUCAAAAAACAUUAAAAAAAUUUUUUUUAAUAUGCAAAGUGUAUGUAUCAUAAAUUCAGAUUUCUCUGAUCAGAAUGAUGAUCUAGUUUCACCCAUUAGAACUGGAUCUACAACUCCAUGUAAAAGUAUUAAUAAACCAAACGUGCAAGACAGGCAACAAGAAACACCAAAGAUUUUACUACCGUGACAAGUCCAAGUGCGUCGGGAGAAGAGGGGAACGACCACUUUAGGAAACCCCGUCCCACCUCUCUCAGCUCUACAGCCCACAGACUGCCUUCUUAAUGGAGGCGACGUCACAGACACCCUCCGGCGGUG